CCUACGGGAGGCAGCAGUAGGGAAUUUUCCACAAUGGACGAAAGUCUGAUGGAGCAACGCCGCGUGCAGGAUGAAGGCUCUCGGGUCGUAAACUGCUCUUCUGAUUGACGAUUAUGACGGUAGAUCAGGAAUAAGGAUCGGCUAACUCCGUGCCAGCAGCCGCGGUAAU
rnacentral:rRNA from 1 species